GACGAACGCUGGCGGCGUGCUUAACACAUGCAAGUCGAACGGAAAGGCCUGCUUUCCCUUGUGGAUUGCGGGUGCUCGAGUGGCGAACGGGUGAGUAACACGUGAGCGAUCUGCCCCCAACUUGGGUAUAAGCCUGGGAAACUGGGUCUAAUUCCCGAUAGGACUGCAGGGUGGUGCCUGUGGUGGAAAACGAUUUUCUAGUGGUUGGGGAUGAGCUCGCGGCCUAUCAGCUUGUUGGUGGGGUAAUGGCCUACCAAGGCGGCGACGGGUAGCCGGCCUGAGAGUGUGGACGGCCACAUUGGGACUGAUAUACGGCCCAGACUCCUACGGGAGGCAGCAGUGGGGAAUAUUGCACAAGGGGCGGAAGCCUGAUGCAGCGACGCCGCGUGGGGGAUGACGGCCUUCGGGUUGUAAACUCCUUUCGACCGCGAGGAAGCCACCUGGUUGGAAGGGUGGUGACGGUAGUGGUAGAAGAAGCACCGGCUAACUACGUG
rnacentral:rRNA from 1 species